GCUGAACUCACUGAGCUAUCAGAGAUAAGCGCAGGCAGACUUGUUUACACAACUAGGCAAUGAUGUACAUUACCUUUACUGUAGGCUGGCAGUGGCUUCUUAAUUUUUGAACAGGAUUUUCAAAGUUCUCCAAAAAUUUAGAAGCAUCUUCUGCAAACAGCUGACAAUGAGAACUUUUCCACUUUAUGAUGCAGAGGUUUUUCAGGGGGCAUGCUAGAUCCAGCCAAGGCUUUGAAAAAGAGAGACAACUGGAUCCCUUAUUUAGAGGCAAUGUAACUUGUGAGCAAUUCAGUGGCAGCAAAAUCCUUGGCUGGGCGCGUGUCUCUGGAUCAAUGCCCUAUGCUACUUGACCUCUGGACCUGUGAAACUGCUCUCUUGGGGAAAAAAUGCCAGCUCACCAGCAUGCUUUGAAACCCAGAGGAAAGAUUCAUUUUGGCCCAAGUGAAGAUCGAGAUCAUGUAUAAACCUCCAUGGUUUGAUCUCAAGCUUCAGUGUAUGUCAAUACCUACAUAGAUGAAUGUAUGUGUUUGCAACUUCACCUCAAGCUGCUGAGGGGCACAGUAAACCAAUAAUUUUAGGCAGAUGCCCAGAGGGAAUACACCCACAAGACUUGUUUGCUUCUGUUAGAAGCUUCCCCCACAUCCGACAGAGUCAAUGCCAGCUGGGCCCAAGAUGGACCCACUGCUGGUCAGUGCUGAGCCCAGCAGUGAUGGUGGUAGCACCUCUGGGAUUACAGAUUUAAGAAGCAGGAAAAAAAC